AUCAUCAGUUCGUAAAGUUCUGAGUAGUUUUGUCCUCUCCACAUCCCAAAUUUGGAUUCGACCAGUGUCUAAAGCACACACUAAGUGGGCACCAUCUUGCAUCCAUCCGACUGAUGUCACCAUUUGCAUAUUGCUGCAAGGUGUAAUAUACCUCUCAGCCACAUCACAUGGAAUGCGGACAAUUUCAGCCGUAUGAGCUGUCCAGAGAUAUACUUGGUCCUUCAACGCAAUCGCAACCACGUUCGAAUCAGACCAAUCCAGUAAAUUAAGAUAAAAAUCGUCAACAAUGUCCGGAGCAUCUAGUACACGAUCAGGUGAUUUGGGAUAUACACGAUAUUUCACGACAGGAUUAGAUGAGACAACGGACGAUCCUUGGUACACUACUUUCAAAGCAUUUUGAUAUCCCUGUGAAUAAAUGCAUGAGUUAUUCGAAUGGAUCUAAUUAGAGUCUUUAAAUAUGAUUCAUGAGAGAUUAGAUAAAUAAAUACGGUAAGUAAACUAGUGUUGUAAUA